GAUGAACGCUGGCGGCGUGCUUAACACAUGCAAGUCGAACGGAAAGGCCCCGGCUUGCUGGGGUACUCGAGUGGCGAACGGGUGAGUAACACGUGGGUGAUCUGCCCUGCACUUUGGGAUAAGCUUGGGAAACUGGGUCUAAUACCGAAUAUGACCACUUCUUGGAUGUUGUGGUGGAAAGCUUUUGCGGUGUGGGAUGAGCCUGCGGCCUAUCAGCGUGUUGGUGGGGUAAUGGCCUACCAAGGCGGCGACGGGUAUCCGGCCUGAGAGGGUGUACGGACACAUUGGGACGGAGAUACGGCCCAGACUCCUACGGGAGGCAGCAGUGGGGAAUAUUGCACAAUGGGCGCAAGCCUGAUGCAGCGACGCCGCGUGGGGGAUGAAGGCCUUCGGGUUGUAAACUCCUUUCGCUAUCGACGAAGCCACUUGUGGUGACGGUAGGUAGAUAAGAAGCACCGGCUAACUACAUGCCAGCCGCCGCCGUAA
rnacentral:rRNA from 1 species